rnacentral:tRNA from 1 species
GCCGGAGUGACGAAAUGGCAGACGUUAGAGACUCAAAAUCUCUUGGGCCGAAAGGUCCGUGAGGGUUCGACUCCCUCCUCCGGCACCG